CCUGGAUGAGUUGGUCCCAAGAUUUCUGCGUGUUUACAGACAGAGGCAGACAGUGAAGGAACUUCCGGCUAUCCUCGCCUCUCUUGAUGAUGAUAACUCAAAUCAACAGAAGAGAGCCGUUGUUCUCCUUGCCCUGCCCUAUUUUAUGAAGGAGGACCCUUCCAAUUUCUUCAAAAUCUGUAAGCCAAAUGAGGAGAGUGAAGCGGUCAAGGGAAUGGACGUGGGAAUCCUCAUCCUUACAGAGAAUGAACAGCGCCCUCUCCCCAAGGAGGUGAUCGAUGUCGCACUUGCACUGGAGGAGGAUGUCGUUCUCCGAAACCUCAAAGAUGUGCCUCACGCGUUUUCAUUGCUGAUGGGUCUGCUUUAUGGUCUCAACAUCCACUACCCAAAAGGACUCAGGUACAUGUUUGAGGUCAUACAGAAGGUGAUAAUGAAGAUUGGUGCAGAGUCUUGCUCCGCAAGAGUUAAUAGUGUCCGGAACAGGCUCAUGUCCACACGCAUGUGAUCGGACACGCAUCUUUAAGUGAUAUGCCUCACGCGUUUUCAUUGCUGAUGGGACUGCUUUAUGGUCUCAACAUCCACUACCCAAAAGGACUCGGGUACAUGUUCGAGAUCAUACAGAAGGUGAUAAUGAAGAUUGGCGAUGAGUCUUGGUCCGCAAGAGUUAAUGGUGUCCGGAACAGGCUCAUGUCCACACACAUGUGAUCGGACGCGCGUCUUUAAG